rnacentral:rRNA from 1 species
AGUCUAACCUUCGGGAGGACGAUUACCACGGUGUGGUUCAUGACUGGGGUGAAGUCGUAACAAGGUAGCCGUAGGGGAACCUGCGGCUGGAUCACCUCCUU